rnacentral:rRNA from 1 species
UACAUGGGGUGCAAGCGUUGCUCGGAAUUAUUGGGCGUAAAGCGCGCGUAGGCGGUUACUCAAGUCGGAUGUGAAAGCCCUCGGCUUAACUGAGGAAGUGCACCCGAAACUGAGUAGCUAGAGUACCAAAGAGGGUCGCGGAAUUCCCGGUGUAGAGGUGAAAUUCGUAGAUAUCGGGAGGAACACCGGUGGCGAAGGCGGCGACCUGGGUGGAUACUGACGCUGAGGCGCGAAAGCGUGGGGAGCAAACAGG